GUGGAUUAGAUACCCUGGUAGUCCACGCCGUAAACGAUGUCGACUAGCCGUUGGGAUCCUUGAGAUCUUAGUGGCGCAGCUAACGCAUUAAGUCGACCGCCUGGGGAGUACGGCCGCAAGGUUAAAACUCAAAUGAAUUGACGGGGGCCCGCACAAGCGGUGGAGCAUGUGGUUUAAUUCGAAGCAACGCGAAGAACCUUACCAGGCCUUGACAUGCAGAGAACUUUCCAGAGAUGGAUUGGUGCCUUCGGGAACUCUGACACAGGUGCUGCAUGGUCGUCGUCAACU
rnacentral:rRNA from 1 species